rnacentral:lncRNA from 1 species
ACUCCCUCCGUCCCAAAUUAUCUGCUGUUUUAGCAGAAAAAUUUUGUCCCACAAUAUCUGCUUUUUCAAGAUUUCAAUGCAUUUUUUCCCUUUGUUUUUCAAGUUUGCCCAUUUACCUUAAUUGUUGAUAGUUAUUACUCAUUCAAGUCUCUCCUCUUUUUUAAGCAUCCUUUUCAUAUUCCCACCAAUAAGAAUGUGAUUGUCAAAGUUAUGCUUCUUAAAAGACAUUGACACACUCUUCCAUGGACAAUCUC